CAUGUGGUUUAAUUCGAUGCAACGCGAAGAACCUUACCAGGUCUUGACAUCCCACGAAUUUCAUACUGAAAGGAUGGAGUGCCUUCGGGAGCGUGGAGACAGGUGGUGCAUGGUUGUCGUCAGCUCGUGUCGUGAGAUGCUGGGUUAAGUCCCGCAACGAGCGCAACCCUUGCUAUUAGUUGCUAACAGGUAGAGCUGAGCACUCUAAUGGGACUGCCGGUGACAAGCCGGAGGAAGGUGGGGAUGACGUCAAAUCAUCAUGCCCUUUAUGACCUGGGCUACACACGUGCUACAAUGGAUGGUACAGAGAGCAGCGAGGCAGCGAUGUGGAGCGAAUCUCAAAAAGCCAUUCUCAGUUCGGAUUGGAGUCUGCAACUCGACUCCAUGAAGUCGGAAUCGCUAGUAAUCGUGGAUCAGAAUGUCACGGUGAAUACGUUCCCGGGUCUU
rnacentral:rRNA from 1 species